ACUACAGGGAUUGCCCUAGUAACGGCGAGUGAAGCGGCAACAGCUCAAAUUUGAAAUCUGGCUCUUUCAGGGUCCGAGUUGUAAUUUGCAGAGGGCGCUUUGGCUUUGGCAGCGGUCCAAGUUCCUUGGAACAGGACGUCACAGAGGGUGAGAAUCCCGUACGUGGUCGCUAGCUAUUGCCGUGUAAAGCCCCUUCGACGAGUCGAGUUGUUUGGGAAUGCAGCUCUAAAUGGGAGGUAAAUUUCUUCUAAAGCUAAAUACUGGCCAGAGACCGAUAGCGCACAAGUAGAGUGAUCGAAAGAUGAAAAGCACUUUGGAAAGAGAGUCAAACAGCACGUGAAAUUGUUGAAAGGGAAGCGCUUGCAGCCAGACUUGCUUGCAGUUGCUCAUCCGGGCUUUUGCCCGGUGCACUCUUCUGCAGGCAGGCCAGCAUCAGUUUGGGCGGUGGGAUAAAGGUCUCUGUCACGUACCUCUCUUCGGGGAGGCCUUAUAGGGGAGACGACAUACCACCAGCCUGGACUGAGGUCCGCGCAUUCGCUAGGAUGCUGGCGUAAUGGCUGUAAGCGGCCCGUCUUGAAACACGGACCAAGGAGUCUAACAUCUAUGCGAGUGUUUGGGUGUCAAGCCCGAACGCGUAAUGAAAGUGAACGGAGGUGGGAACCCGCAAGGGUGCACCAUCGACCGAUCCUGAUGUCUUCGGAAGGAUUUGAGUAAGAGCAUGGCUGUUGGGACCCGAAAGAUGGUGAACUAUGCUUGAAUAGGGUGAAGCCAGAGGAAACUCUGGUGGAGGCUCGCAGCGGUUCUGACGUGCAAAUCGAUCGUCAAAUUUGGGCAUAGGGGCGAAAGACUAAUCGAACUAUCUAGUAGCUGGUUCCUGC
rnacentral:rRNA from 1 species